UGCAACUCAUUGUCAGUGUACAAUACAUAGCGAAACAAUCCAAAUCCUGAAAGCCUCAAAACUCUAGCUGGAGAUAACCCUCGUCAAUUUGAGCUUUAACAUUUCAAAAAUUUUUUACAUUGCACUAAGAGUAAUUUAUAGAUAGGGUCAAAUUUAGAAAAUGAAAACAAUAUGAAGUACAAAAUUAAAUUGAAGUUGGUGCUCUCUCCAUGGUCCGCCGUCCGAAGAUGAUCGAUGAAUAUCUAUAUCCAUUCAAAUAGAAUUAUCAUAGUAACUUUCGUACAUAUAUUCGACAAAUAUACGCAUAUGUUUUUGCAAACAUAGUUUGGGUUUGCAAACAGAGCAACUAUUCCAUUUACAGUUUGAAAAAUGGAAUUAUUAUUCAUUUUACUUUAAAUGAGUAAUAUCCUGUGCAUAUACUGUUGUCAAACUGAGCAGCUUUUCAUCCUCAAAAUAUCAAAAACUAUUUGAAGUAAAUUCGUAGUGUUGGUCACUGCUGGGGCCGGUCCAACUGAAGGUGCAACAUGUGCAUAUGGAAAGGGCGGCAAAUUUUUGGAGACCGUAAAAUUCAUUUAAGCUAUA